rnacentral:lncRNA from 1 species
UUUUGAAGAGCAGUUGGUCUCUCAGUCUGGAGAAGUGGAAGAGAGAAGCUUGAAUAAGACUUUCUCCUGAGGGUUACCCACCUUUUUCCUGCUUGUGACUGGAAAUCAUCCCCCCCCCCAACACUUCCCAAUUAAAGAGACUCAGAGAAGAGAAACCUGAGAAAAGACAUUUUUAAUCUUUGUCAGACUUUACUUCAGCUCCUGUUGCCCUGGGUCUGACUGUGGUGAAGGGGCCAAACCCAGGGAAAAAA